rnacentral:rRNA from 1 species
CAACUUGAGAGUUUGAUCCUGGCUCAGAGCGAACGCUGGCGGCAGGCUUAACACAUGCAAGUCGAGCGGGCGUAGCAAUACGUCAGCGGCAGACGG